rnacentral:lncRNA from 1 species
AAUUUUCAGCCGCUAGAACCAAAAAUCGACUGCCCAUCUUGCUUCUUUUUCAUGCUUGAACAGAGAUCCAAAAAAAAAAAAGCGGAGUUGUUUCUAAGCUAAACCCAGCUGUAAACUCACUUCAAAACACCUAAACCAUUCAUAAAAAUAGACGCUGACGAGGUCGUUUGCAACAACAUUCCGUUUUCGAUCGAGUCGAGUUCGCCGCCGGUUCCGCUUGUCAUGAGUUCUCGAGCCGAGCUUCUGUUGAUUUCUUGUUUAACUGGAAAGGGAGACAUUAGAGUAUGAGGAAUUGAACUUGGAGUUCUUGUUGCUUUCCCUUAUCUUGCUCCUGUUGAAGAUUGAGGGUAUCAGGUACAUGUUCUUUUGGGUGCUAAUACUUGUGGUUUAGUUUGAAAUUAUGUGUAAUUUCCUGUAUAAGUAAGUACUGAUUUGGAUUUAAUUGUUGCAUAAGGCUUCUGUUUAUAAACUGCAACUUUAUUGAUUUCUUUAGUUGGCUUCAUUCUUAAAUUGUUAAGUUCAAUAGAGACAUAGUAGCCCUUAAUACGUAAGAUCAUUUCAACGUGAAUAGCCUUCUUGAUCGCGUUACUUGUUUCGUUUGGUUAACCUGUAAAUGUAUGUUGAAUGAAAUGGUCUAGUAAAAUAUGUUGAGCAUUAGUAUUAGAUAUUUUUGGAGAAUAUGUC